GCUGCGCGCGCGUGGCGCCCGGAGGUGGUGGGGGAGCGGAGUUGGUAAGGCGGCUGGGGGUAGUUUUGCAGAGGCGACAAUGGGGCAAAAUCGGGAAUGUGCGUUCUUUUCUAGACACAUCCACGUGAGAAAAGAGGGUGGGGGAACACCCCGGUGGAAUUCGCUGAGGCCUAUUUCCGGGCACGCAUAUCGUCAGAAUAGCUGGAAUGAUUACUACAUUGUGGUUUCGGAUCUUAAAGAGGAAAGUUCCAACAGCAGUCAAAACAAAAGUUUCAGCAUGACUUUGGCAUGUGAAGCCAUUCACUGAUUGAAGAGUAAGAUAACUCCAGAGUUAGUCAUCCAGACCUGGAUUUUCCCAGAACUUCAAAGACUCGACCAGAAGCCGUAUAUAAAAGGGCAAUAUGCUAACACAAUCAAGACUAAUCAAACUUAUCUGGUUACCGGAUAGCAAUCAAAAUUAGUUUGGUUAGUAUAACAGUUGAUAGGUAUUCACAAAUGUCAUAAAAGUUUUGCAGAAUAAAUUUAGGAUUUCUACAUGAUAGUCUAUAAAUAUGAAUCAUCAUUCUUAUCAGCUAAAGUCUUAAUUUGAGUUACUUAAAUGAACUGCUUUUUUUUUUAAAAAAAAAUCUGGAAUAAUUUGUAUAUUUAAUCCCAAAAAUUUCCCAAUGGCUCAUUUUAGAAAGAGGGAAAAAUCAUAGGCAUCCUCAGUGGGACUGAAAGUAGACAAAUGAACUCCACAUAUGUCAUGACAUAGGGACACAAUUGACACCAGUGAUACGAUGCAACUUACACAAAUGUAAAAAUGUCAUUUGCGUGAUGAUAUGAGAUCACAAUAGCUUCUUCUGUUGAGCAUCUGUACUACAACAAGAAGCAUUCCGGUAAAUAUGUUUUUUUACCUGAUUAGUGCCACCCCGUUCCCAUGAAAGGAACCAGAUAGGCUUUCCUUUAUAGGAAAUACUAAUUGUGCUGCAUAAUAAGAAAAAAAAUGUGGUUAUACAAAUUAAUGCCCAUCCUGGAGGUUCAAGGCAUUGUGAACUAUACAGUUGUGGAAAUACAUCACUGUAAACGUUUGCAAAAAUUGCAAAAUCAUGUAACUCUUAGUUGGUUAGAAAUAAUAAGGGGAUCAAGUGCUUGUUAUGUUGAUAUUAGGAAUGCUUUGUGUUAAACUAUAAAGGAAAAAGUCAGGUAUCUUAAGAAACAUGAAGUGAUAUAUCAAAUUCUGUUAGAAUUCAAGACAAAGCCCAAUCACAACAAUAGAUACGAGUCCUGAAGAUUUCAAGUCACUUCAAGAAUCUCUCUAUGGAGAAAGCAAAGGGUGUUUAUAUUCACAAAGCAGAAUAUAAAUUCAAAUGCGUUUUGAUUUAAAAGAAACGAAGGCUAGUUUAUUAAUGUUCACAUAGAGAGUAUGUAAUAUUUUUAUUGCAGAAUCCAUUUACUGAAUUUGCAAUGCUAUUUAAGCUAAUGGGUAAAAAAUAUAUUGGCAUCAUUGAGA